rnacentral:lncRNA from 1 species
UGCCUGGCCAAGUGCCCAGCAUUGGGAGGUGUUCGGUGUAUUGUUUGGGAAGCCAUAUUUUCUGGCACUGGAAUCAAGGCACCUGGGUGCCCAUGGGGUGAGUAGGGCUGCUGUUCGGUGGCCUGGGGCCCAGAGUGAGGGGAUCCUUCCUUUUCACACAGAGCCACAAGUUGGCAGGGCUGCGUGAUCCCUGAGGGGGCACUUCCUAAUUUGCACCAAGAUGUUGUAUUAGGCUUGCACCCUAUUGGAAGAGCAAACCAGCCACUUUAAGAAUGGCAGAAUGUGAAGAGAUUCAAACUUGAAAGGAAUAGUUCCCCUCAUGAAAAGUUUCCACUAUUCAUUUAACAGCCAAGCCUCCCAGUUACCUGAUUUUGGAGAACUUAUUGUCAAUUUAUGAGUGAGAAGAACUUGAAUGCAUCAUGCUUUUCAGUGUAGUGUACUUAUCCUCAAUUACUGUUUUUCUAAAUACACAAGUAUACAGUUUUAGACCUGAAAGAAAGUUACCUACUGGUUUUGUUUGUUUGUUUGUUUGUUUUUUGUUUUUUUUUUUUUUUUUUUUUUGCUUUUAAUACUGGCUUUGAGUAUAGGCUAAGCCCUAGAAACUAAUAAAACUGGCCAGUGUCAAAUAUCUAACUGGUGGUGGGUUUCUUAUUUGCUAAAAGAGAUCUAUCAUACAUUUCUAUUGGAAACAAGAAGAAGCACAGUGGUCACUAUGUUAGCGCAAUUGCAGUUUUAUUCUUUUCACUCUUUAGUCUCCACUUUGGUCUUGUAUUGCCAAUUUUUUGAAUGCAGAAGCUGCUGAUUUUUGAGUUUGUUUUUCUCUCUGUUGCCACUCACCUACCACAAAUAGACCAUCAACCAUGCUGGGGAGAACACUGCUAAAUGCUCCACAAAAUCACAUCUGUGAAGAAGGAAGAUUGAUGGUGGCCCCUGCACGAGGCACAGACAAGACCUGUCAUAGUUGUCAUGUGGUUAUGUGCUGCCCUCUGCUCAAGCUCAGAAGCCUGCCAGCCCCAGGUCUGCAGUCUGCAGCAAUCAGCCUCCCUGUGCAGAGAAGUGGGGAAUGAAUCAGGCUGCAACAAAUGGAGAAUAACCAGUUCUCUACCUGUUCAUUCACUCAGCAAAUGUGUCCUCCGCGUAUGGUCCACCACAGGCAUGGAGGCUACAGUAGCGAGCAGAAUGGAUCUUUCCUCCACGGAGCCUACAGUUUGGGGAAGACCACCAAGAAAAAUCUAAUAAAACACUGAUGAGCCUAAUUCAAAUGGAAGUAGAGCUGUGGAGAAAAGGAAUCCAGUUCAGUAAGAGAACAAAACAAAGGAAACUGAAUCAACUUUGAGAGCCAGGAAGGCUUCCUCAAGAAAGUGGCAGUAGCUGAGAGAUGAAAGGGGAGAUUAGAGAGGAGAGAAAGAACUAGAGAGCACAUUUAAGCAGAGGGCACCAUAGGGCAAAGUGCCCACCUGUGACACAAAGGAGCAAGGCUCAUCUGAGAACAAAGAGAAGUGCCAGUGUGGAGGACAGGGAUGCUGGAAGGACAGUGGUCUUAGUAGCCAGUGGGGGGUGGCCGGGGCAGACCAGGGGAGGCUUUGUGGGCCAAGUUAAGGAUUUUGGUUUAUAUCUUAACAGCAGGUGGUGGAGUUCCCACUGUGGCAUAGCGGGUUAAGAAUAUGACUGCAGUGGCUUGGGUCAUUGCAGAGGCAUGGAUUCAAUCCCUGGCCAGGGUUAAAGGAUCCAGCAUCGCGGCAGCUGUAGUACAAGUCACAGCUAUGGCUUGAAUUCAGUCCCUGGCCUGAGAACUUCUGUAUGCCAUGGGCAUAGCCAUAAAAAAACAAACAAAAAAUAGAGCAGGUGGGAAACCAACAGAGUUUUCAUUCAGGGAAGGAUGAGGAUGGGGAUGGAUGCAGUCAGAUGUCAGAACAUCAGAUGUUUGGGAAGAUUACUCUGGGGACAAUUGGGAGACUGAAUUGGAAGAGGGUAUUGUGGAAAUCCAGGUGAGAGAGAGUGAGGCCAUUACCUCUGCUGGUGGCAGUGAGGAUGGAGGGUAGUGAAGGUGUUAAGAGUGAUGUAGGAGCCAGAACAGGACUUGGCAGUGCAUUGGUCAGGGAGUCGGGGGGGAUGGGGGGGUCAUGAAGUGCCAGGAUGGUGCCUGGUUUCUGGUCUGAACAAAUGAGUAAGGUAUUCAUUGAGCUAGGAAAACAUGGUGAGCCGGGUAUUGGUUAAUUUGUGUCCCUCAAAAAAG